UCGGGAGUGCUCCAAUGGCAACGAGGGUGGACUGGAGUUCCUUGAGCUUGCGAAAAAAUCCGCUGUCUGAUGACUUCGUAGGUUCGAGUCCUACCUCCCGAA
rnacentral:tRNA from 5 species